ACAUAAGACGAGAAGACCCCAUGGAGCUUUAAACCCGAUGUCACCCAUUUUCCUCUACACCCUAAUAUUCAAUUUGGCCCUGCCCUGUCGGUUUUAGGUUGGGGUGACCACGGAGUAUAAUAUACCCUCCAUGAAAAAGGGAGUAAUAAUCCUUAUUAGAGAACAACACUUCUAAAAAUUAAAACAUUAAUUUAUAAUGAUCCGAUAUUCGAUCAACGAACCAAGUUACCCUGGGGAUAACAGCGCAAUCUGCCUCAAGAGCCCCUAUCG
rnacentral:rRNA from 1 species